UAUUACCCAGUUUUGAUAAAUGCACAGAAUGAUGUCACUUUAAAAUAAAAAAUAAAUCUCAAUCUUCUUAAACUAUAAUUGAUAAUUAAUCUCUUCCCAACACAUCACAGUAAUAAAAAAAUUGAUAAAUGUACACAAGAACAUAACCUUUCUAACUUUCCACUGUGUCAACUAGUAWCCAGUUAAAAAGACGUCAGGACUGUUGAUGUAUAGGCUGUAAUGUUAAGAGCGCUCCCUGCUGGUUCAACUGCAGAAUUGCAGAACUACAGAGUGUGAAGCCUUUCAACAUUAUUAGCUUAAUKCUGCUCAUCACAGCCAAUAACAGCAGGAUUUCAACAUAAUCACCAGGCAGUGGAAGGAAAACAUGUUUGUGAAUAACAAAUCUGAGUCUUUAAACUCUGUAUAUAUAGUACAACUAUACACUGGCUUCAGUAGUCGCCUAAUUAGCACAGUCCACCCAUGACUGAUUCAACCUCAGCAUGAAAACGGCCAUUCUGUAAAGGUCUACGAGGCUUGUUAGAGAAGAAAAACGUCAUUGUCGAGGAAAAAAAAAAAGCCAGAAGGAAACCAAUUUGCAUUUAAGCAAAGGUCCCAUUGUCGCAUAAGAUCAACACUGGAUAAAAUACAAAAAUAAACUAUUGAUGGAGGAAAACUAACUUAAAUACCAUGAACACAUUAUUUCUCACAAUGAAAUAUAWGGUGAUGUGAGCGUCAUGCUUCGGGAUUAUUUGCAGGUGUAAUUGAAGCAAAAGAUGAAGCAUGAAGUCAGAGGCCACAGAUAUACAAAUGCACAACAAACCUUUCAGAUUUUUGCCUGUAAACUGUUUUUAAAAUCCCAUAUCGUCUCUUCUUUCAUGGCACUAUUACGUAAUGUUGGUAUUCCCUGUAACAUCUUCAUAAAAUACUUUCAAACUUGUGGUUGGGAUGUGAUAAAAUGUAAAAUAAAAUAAAUAAAAAAUCAAGCAUCAUCCCAGCAAACGCAAGGAUCUCGCAAUUUCUACUCUUCUUGUUUUAUCAUCCAUUCUUUAGUUCACUUCUCACCUCCAUUAUCCAGGUCAACAUGAGUCUCUGCCUACAUUCUUGAUUUCCUCUGCCAUGCCUCACUCACAGCAUCUACCUCUCUAUAUUUGCUUUUCCUCUCACCAUGACGUCAUUCCCUCAAAAUUUCCAUUUUUUGAUGCUUUAAUUCACUAACCCCUCCCUACCUUCCCUCUCUAAAAGUUAGCCUCAUUCAGAUGAAGUCUUUUCUGAUUGGCCUGUAUUUAUAACAAGUAGGUCCCGGUGCCACAUGGGAGAACGGUCCUCAGUCAGAUCCAGGUCACAGCGAGCGGAACCACUCGUUUCUCUGCGUGGAUCGGCCCAGUCCAGUGGAGUCCAGUCCAGCUGGUUCCGUUACAAACACAGUGUCACUUCACAGACAGACUUUGCCUCCACUGCCAUCUCACAGACGCGGGCAGGCAGGCAGGAACACAAGUCAGAUGGUGCUGCAUCCUUGCUCAUGCAGAGCAGGCGUGAUGCACACAGGUUAAUAUUUKCAAAUGGCUUGCCUCUAAACCUGGAAAUACUCUGUUGGAGUUAAACAACAGACAAAGAGAGGGAGCCGUCACCACCGACUGACUGAAAACAAACAAGCCUGCAAUGCUAGGACGGAACUGUUCGGAGAAAAUUCUGACUAUUGGAAACCUUCCACCUGCGCAGUGAGUUUAAGUAAUCCUGAAAGCUUUAAAGUUUAAUUUUAGCAGCGAUUAAGUUGCUUGGUAGCUUCCGUUGUUUGCAAUAGAACUGUGAGUUUUUCCUCGCCUGCAUCGAUGAGGUGUAAAUAUGCCUUUCUGAAUUGAAGAAACAGCCAGCUUGACAAAUACCCCACAAAUAUUGAAAAUAAUUGAAUCAUUUUAAUUUUAAUAAUUUUUAUUUUUUUUUGCCUUCUUGCAACCACUGCAGCAAAUAAUUUUUUGUGUGGUGCCCCUCUUUUCAGUGAGCUGUCCCAUUUACAGCUUUUCUUUUUUUUUUUUUUUACAAUUUUCUCUAACCUCACGUAAACUAAUUGCAGAUGAU